GGGAGGGUGGGAGAGAAGAGGAACGCGUAAUCUCCCAAACAUCCGUUGUUAACCACUUCACCCCCUCUGGAUCCGUGCGGCAAGGUAAGAAAAAAGCCUGCGCGGCUUGGCCCUCUCUGCAUCGUAAAGUGCACAGGCAGGCGGGUGUAGCAGCUCCUCUCCUCUCCUCUGCUCUCCGGGGCUGAGGCUGAGGCUGAGGCUGGCUUCCACUGCGGAUAGAGAGCGGAUGGAGGCCGGGCACGGAGCAGGACACCAAGAGGACAUAACAACAAACCUGGCACGGGGGAAAACAGUGGAGCGACUUGUGGUCGUUAAGGAGUGGCUGGCACGAGUCGCCAAGCCAAGCCGGGGCAUGUGAGGUGUAAACGAAGAAGCAACGGAGACGGAAACAGUGGAGGUGUCGGGGCGUCGCAUGGCGAGCCUCUCUGAUGUUCUGGAUCACUGGGGGGAAGAUGGAAAUCGGACGUCCGUGGGGAGAAGAAAUUGCAUGCCAACAGCACGUCGUUGGUGGAGUCCUUUUAUUUUUUUUUUUUAUGGGAGGCGUGUUUUAAGGAGCUCUGUUUCGUCCUCAUGUGGUCCGUCCCAAGGAUGAAAAAUGGCGCGCAGCUGGCUGAGUACUUCCUUCCCCUUGUUGGGGUCAGCAGUUCACCGUGCUGAUAGAGACCCUCACACCUUCUUUAUUAGGAGCUCCUCUACACUCAGACAAGUUGUUAUUCUGCAUCACUGGACAGCCGUCAGCACUGCCUUUGUCUAGGUUAUCUCUGAUUACAUGACUUCAUCUUUGCAUGAAGAGGAGACUAAGAAAACCUUUGCAACACCUUUUCUUUUUCAAAUUAAUCAUACUGUUAACCUUUGCUCCAUCAGAAAGAUUUUGUUAUUUGGGGAAUAAAUAUUUACUUGAAAUCUGAACAAGAACAGGGACAUCUAGAUGUGUGAAUUUAAGAAACAGCAAUAUUUGCUUUACAGAUUUGUUUCUCCCCAUCAAAGGAAACUUAGCAUUAAUUUUCUUACCCAGAAAUCUUUGAUAGGUAACAGUGGCCAACUUUGACUUAGUUGGCCACCGUUUCCUACUAAGUGGAAAAACCCUUUUAAAACAGUUUCCAACCAGUAUCUAGACGUCUUCUCCAUGUGUCCGAGUGAUUUGUGUAGGCAAAAAAUAAAUUGAGGUCAAUGUUGUCCCACCUGUACUAUGCCUCUGAGCUGCCAAGUAAGCCAGUCGAGGUUUAAAUCAUUUAAGCGAAAUUAAGUCACAAUAUGUUUCCAAUUUCAGUUCUGUGUUAUGAAUAUAAUAAAAAAAGGUUUUUCAUUUAAUUGUCUUUUGAAAUUGACUAAACUCACAUGUUCUAAUACCUUCUUUUGGACAUUUUUUACUUAUUUUUGACACGUUAUAAAGACACCUGUAGAUGUCCAACAUCAGGUUUCAAGAUGCCAUUGCAUGUCAAAGUUAUAUUGGCUUAGGACAUUCCAUAGAUUGUAAAUAUUUGCUAGUCACCAUUCACAGAUAGAAGAAACUGAGUGACAUUCAACUCUUAAUCUUUAGUGUUUUGCAUGACAUCAAACCAUCUGCAGCUGUAACAACUUAAAAUUUUCUAUGAAGGCUUUCUGUAAUUUUUAGAAGUGUGUUUUUAUUUGUUUUGAACAAUUAUCCACAAGAGCUUGCAGUCUCCACUAAUUCAUUCCAAAUCAUGAUCUUUUUGGUUGAGGUCAAGACCGUCUGGUUCUUUCACACCAAACUCGCUCAUCCGUGUCUUUGUGGAUCUUUUGUUUGUUCCACUGAAAAGUUGUGCCUCAGGAUCCACUAAGACUCACCAAGACUGUGACUUCAUGUCUUAGUUGACAAAUCCUUUCCACUUCCCUAUGAUACCACUAAAAGCUGACUACGGAACGAUUUGUAGGCAGAAAAUUUCACAGCUGGACUGGCUGCUUAGGUGGCAUUUCAUCACAAUACACCAGGCUGUAUAAAUAGUCUAGUAGGAUUGGAAUAGUGAUAAUAAAGGCGUCCAAAGUUUGUAGUUUCUUGUGGUGGACUGCAGUCCUUCCUCUGUUCACCGAUAAAUAAGAUAAGACUCAUGAGAGUCAGAGUCUGAAUUUGUAAAAUAAAAAUCGCAACCU